CAAGUCCACUACGAUAAAGGAUUAGCGAUCCACAUCGGCCCCGAGCCGUGCGCUGGCAUCGGUGAGGAUGUCGGCGAAGCGUCGGCAGGGGAACAUGCAGGCCAGCCAUUGAGGCGCGAAAUAAAGUUGAAUCCGGGUGCCGACGCUGCGUGUUGGGCGGAAGGCAACACGGUAGAACGCGUUAUCGCAAGCGAUCUACUGACCCGGCAACGUCUGAGAACC
rnacentral:ncRNA from 1 species